rnacentral:rRNA from 1 species
UACAGAGGGGGCAAGCGUUAUUCGGAAUUAUUGGGCGUAAAGCGCACGUAGGCGGAUUGUUAAGUCGGGGGUGAAAUCCUGGAGCUCAACUCCAGAACUGCCUUCGAAACUGGCGAUCUUGAGUCCGGGAGAGGUGAGUGGAACUGCGAGUGUAGAGGUGAAAUUCGUAGAUAUUCGCAAGAACACCAGUGGCGAAGGCGGCUCACUGGCCCGGUACUGACGCUGAGGUGCGAAAGCGUGGGGAGCAAACAGG